GUCUACUGCCAUGCCACCCUGAACAAGGCCAAUCCUGUCUGAUCUCAGAAGCUAAGCAGGGUCAUGCCUGGUUAUUACUUAAUGGGAGACCACCUAGGAAAACCAGGUGCUGUAAGCA
ensembl:rRNA 5S_rRNA 5S ribosomal RNA